rnacentral:rRNA from 1 species
CUCAGAUUGAACGCUGGCGGCAGGCCUAACACAUGCAAGUCGAGCGGUAGAGAGGUGCUUGCAUCUCUUGAGAGCGGCGGACGGGUGAGUAAUGCCUAGGAAUCUGCCUGGUGGUGGGGGGAUAACGUUCGGAAACGGACGCUAAUACCGCAUACGUCCUACGGGAGAAAGCGGGGGAUCUUCGGACCUCGCGCCAUUAGAUGAGCCUAGGUCGGAUUAGCUAGUUGGUGAGGUAAUGGCUCACCAAGGCGACGAUCUGUAGCUGGUCUGAGAGGACGACCAGCCACACUGGGACUGAGACACGGCCCAGACUCCUACGGGAGGCAGCAGUGGGAAUUUUGGACAAUGGGCGCAAGCCUGAUCCAGCAAUGCCGCGUGCAGGAUGAAGGCCUUCGGGUUGUAAACUGCUUUUGUACGGAACGAAACGGUGAGCUCUAAUACAGUUUGCUAAUGACGGUACCGUAAGAAUAAGCCCCGGCUAACUCCGUG